AGUAAACUCCUGUACUGUAAUUAGCUUAGCAUUAAGCAGGUAUUACGUAAUCACGGUUUAUUAGGGGUUAGCCUGUAAUUUUUAUUUUGUAUCUUAGCAGGCUGGAUAUCGUUUAUGUCCUGUAUAAAAUUUUUAUUUUUAUUAUUAUUUUAUUUUCUAUGUUGGUCAUUUGAGAUUCAGUCACAGAAUGUUCUGGAUUGUUGUGCACGCGCCCGGUGGUUGGGUGUCGUUCGUUAUAGGAGCGCGAGGCGCUUCAGAAAAGCCCAGGCGGCAGGAUCUCGCGCGCGCUGAGUGGAGACAGGACGAGUAGCGAGCUUCGGGGUGUGACAGAAAGGCUGGAGGAACAGGGUGCAGUGAACUGACUGCAGAAAUGAAAGGUCGUUGAAGCGGGCCACUUGGUUCUUCAUGACGGCGGACGCGUUCCUCAGCUCGGCCGAGUAAUUCUCGUCGUUUCCGGCCAUGACGGUGACCAGGGUGCCGUCGGGAACAUCACCGAGAGCCACCACCUGCACCAGGUUGUCCAGAAAAAAUGCUUAACAAAACCCAACAACAGCCGUUUUAAGCUUUUUACAAGACUGAAAAUUAUAAUUAAAAGCUUCAGUUAAGAGAU